rnacentral:lncRNA from 1 species
AGAUAUUUGGCAAGAGAUUUUGGCAUUUAGUGGGUACUACAGGGGAAAAUGUUAUCAACAAUUGCUUAUAAGACUGAUUUUGGCGCGUAUGUUUUGUAUUCCUUCGGGGUUUUUUUGUUUGUUUGUUUGUUUUUAAUGAAUCCCUGGAAAUUAUCACCAGACCGACUCAAAAUUACAAAGUUUUUCAGAGCUUAUACACCUUCUAAGCUAUAUGUCUGGGAUUACAGGCGUGAGCCAAGUGCUGGGAUUACAGGCGUGAGCCACCAUGCCCGGCCAAUGCGUACCUUUAUUGCUACACCAUGGUGUUGAAUAUUAUUAUGUAUAAAUAACUAUUGGUUUCAUACAAUAGAAGAUUAGAGAAUCUUAUUCCCAAAUAUUUGACUCCUGAAGUAAGUUUUGAGGUGACUGUUUGGAUUUUGGCAGAGAUUUUGGGUUGCAGGUCCUUGACACGUGUGUUCGGUUUUAGGUCAUUCAGGAAGAAUUCAGUCACAUGCUUAUAUGCAGAGCAGGAGCGCCAGCUUCUCGACAUGCUGGGAAGGUGGUCCAGAGUAAGUGUGACUUUGGCGUGCAAUCAAAAGUAUUUAUUACACAUGUCUCACACAGAGAGUAAUGCAAGGAAAUUUCACCAAACAUAUUGAAAGUGGACAUUUAAAAAAUACAAGCAGUAUAAGCAGGAGAAAAAUCAUCUUGUCAAAUGGCAACUAGUGACUGUGCCUGAAAGUUGUAUAUCUAGCUCAUGCAUGACCUGCAGGGUUCCUUCUCGUUAGUCAGGAAACCUCCAUGAAGCAGAGGACAUGCUAAUAGAGAUGCUUGAAGAGGUUGAGCCCAAACUUAACUUUUGUGUAGUGAAGGGACAGAGUGGGAGAAGGU